GACGAACGCUGGCGGCGUGCCUAAUACAUGCAAGUCGAACGCACAGUUUAUACCGUAGCUUGCUACACCAUAAACUGUGAGUUGCGAACGGGUGAGUAACGCGUAGGUAACCUGCCUGGUAGCGGGGGAUAACUAUUGGAAACGAUAGCUAAUACCGCAUAAUAUUGAUUAUUGCAUGAUAAUUGAUUGAAAGAUGCUAUUGCAUCACUACCAGAUGGACCUGCGUUGUAUUAGCUAGUAGGUGAGGUAACGGCUCACCUAGGCGACGAUACAUAGCCGACCUGAGAGAGUGAUCGGCCACACUGGGACUGAGACACGGCCCAGACUCCUACGGGAGGCAGCAGUAGGGAAUCUUCGGCAAUGGACGAAAGUCUGACCGAGCAACGCCGCGUGAGUGAAGAAGGUUUUCGGAUCGUAAAGCUCUGUUGUAAGAGAAGAACGGGUGUGAGAGUGGAAAGUUCACACUGUGACGGUAUCUUACCAGAAAGGGACGGCUAACUACGUG
rnacentral:rRNA from 1 species